GACGAAGGAUCCAAGCGUUAUCCGGAUUUAUUGGGCUUAAAGGGUGCGUAGGCGGAUUGAUAAGUCAGUGGUGAAAGCCUGCAGCUUAACUGCAGAACUGCCAUUGAUACUGUCAAUCUUGAAUGUGGUUGAUGUGGGCGGAAUAUGACAUGUAGCGGUGAAAUGCUUAGAUAUGUCAUAGAACACCGAUUGCGAAGGCAGCUCACAAAGCCAUUAUUGACGCUGAGGCACGAAAGCGUGGGGAUCAAACAGG
rnacentral:rRNA from 1 species